rnacentral:rRNA from 1 species
CGAGCGGUAGAGAGAAGCUUGCUUCUCUUGAGAGCGGCGGACGGGUGAGUAAUGCCUAGGAAUCUGCCUGGUAGUGGGGGAUAACGUUCGGAAACGGACGCUAAUACCGCAUACGUCCUACGGGAGAAAGCAGGGGACCUUCGGGCCUUGCGCUAUCAGAUGAGCCUAGGUCGGAUUAGCUAGUUGGUGGGGUAAUGGCUCACCAAGGCGACGAUCCGUAACUGGUCUGAGAGGAUGAUCAGUCACACUGGAACUGAGACACGGUCCAGACUCCUACGGGAGGCAGCAGUGGGGAAUAUUGGACAAUGGGCGAAAGCCUGAUCCAGCCAUGCCGCGUGUGUGAAGAAGGUCUUCGGAUUGUAAAGCACUUUAAGUUGGGAGGAAGGGUUGUAGAUUAAUACUCUGCAAUUUUGACGUUACCGACAGAAUAAGCACCGGCUAACUCUGUGCCAGCAGCCGCGGUAAUACAGAGGGUGCAAGCGUUAAUCGGAAUUACUGGGUGUAAAGCGCGCGUAGGUGGUUUGUUAAGUUGGAUGUGAAAUCCCCGGGCUCAACCUGGGAACUGCAUUCAAAACUGACUGACUAGAGUAUGGUAGAGGGUGGUGGAAUUUCCUGUGUAGCGGUGAAAUGCGUAGAUAUAGGAAGGAACACCAGUGGCGAAGGCGACCACCUGGACUAAUACUGACACUGAGGUGCGAAAGCGUGGGGAGCAAACAGGAUUAGAUACCCUGGUAGUCCACGCCGUAAACGAUGUCAACUA